CUGGCUCAGAUUGAACCGCUGGCGGCAUGCCUUACACAUGCAAGUCGAACGGUAACAGGGAGCUUGCUCCGCUGACGAGUGGCGAACGGGUGAGUAAUAUAUCGGAACGUACCUUUGAGUGGGGGAUAACUAGUCGAAAGAUUAGCUAAUACCGCAUACGAUCUACGGAUGAAAGUGGGGGAUCGCAAGACCUCAUGCUCAUAGAGCGGCCGAUAUCUGAUUAGCUAGUUGGUGAGGUAAAGGCUCACCAAGGCUUCGAUCAGUAGCUGGUCUGAGAGGACGACCAGCCACACUGGGACUGAGACACGGCCCAGACUCCUACGGGAGGCAGCAGUGGGGAAUUUUGGACAAUGGGGGCAACCCUGAUCCAGCAAUGCCGCGUGAGUGAAGAAGGCCUUCGGGUUGUAAAGCUCUUUUGUCAGGGAAGAAACGGGAUGUCCUAAUACGAUGUCCUAAUGACGGUACCUGAAGAAUAAGCACCGGCUAACUACGUGCCAGCAGCCGCGGUAAUACGUAGGGUGCAAGCGUUAAUCGGAAUUACUGGGCGUAAAGCGUGCGCAGGCGGUUAUGUAAGACAGGUGUGAAAUCCCCGGGCUUAACCUGGGAAUGGCAUUUGUGACUGCAUAGCUAGAGUGUGUCAGAGGGGGGUAGAAUUCCACGUGUAGCAGUGAAAUGCGUAGAGAUGUGGAGGAAUACCGAUGGCGAAGGCAGCCCCCUGGGAAACACCUGACGCUCAGCACCAAAAGGGUGGGGGGAAGCAAACCAGGGAUUAGAAUCCCCUGGGUAGUCCCACCCCCCUAAAACGAUUGUCGUACAGUUUGUCGGGGGUCC
rnacentral:rRNA from 1 species